GCUGUGGGUAUCUGGCACUGUUGUUCCUGCAUGAAAACCAUGGCUGGUGGCACCUGGACCUACAAUACCACUUCUGCUGUCACAGUGAAGUCAGCC
rnacentral:miRNA from 1 species